GGAUGCGAUCAUACCAGCACUAAAGCACCGGAUCCCAUCAGAACUCCGAAGUUAAGUGUGCUUGGGCGAGAGUAGUACUAGGAGGUCUUAAGUGUGCUUGGGCGAGAGUAGUAC
rnacentral:rRNA from 1 species